GGGCGUUAAGUUGCAGGGUAUAGACCCGAAACCCGGUGAUCUAGCCAUGGGCAGGUUGAAGGUUGGGUAACACUAACUGGAGGACCGAACCGACUAAUGUUGAAAAAUUAGCGGAUGACCUGUGGCUGGGGGUGAAAGGCCAAUCAAACCGGGAGAUAGCUGGUUCUCCCCGAAAGCUAUUUAGGUAGCGCCUCGUGAAUUCAUCUCCGGGGGUAGAGCACUGUUUCGGCUAGGGGGCCAUCCCGGCUUACCAACCCGAUGCAAACUGCGAAUACCGGAGAAUGUUAUCACGGGAGACACACGGCGGGUGCUAACGUCCGUCGUGAAGAGGGAAACAACCCAGACCGCCAGCUAAGGUCCCAAAGUCAUGGUUAAGUGGGAAACGAUGUGGGAAGGCCCAGACAGCCAGGAUGUUGGCUUAGAAGCAGCCAUCAUUUAAAGAAAGCGUAAUAGCUCACUGGUCGAGUCGGCCUGCGCGGAAGAUGUAACGGGGCUAAACCAUGCACCGAAGCUGCGGCAGCGACACUGUGUGUUGUUGGGUAGGGGAGCGUUCUGUAAGCCUGUGAAGGUGUGUCGUGAGGCAUGCUGGAGGUAUCAGAAGUGCGAAUGCUGACAUAAGUAACGAUAAAGCGGGUGAAAAGCCCGCUCGCCGGAAGACCAAGGGUUCCUGUCCAACGUUAAUCGGGGCAGGGUGAGUCGACCCCUAAGGCGAGGCCGAAAGGCGUAGUCGAUGGGAAACGGGUUAAUAUUCCCGUACUUGGUGUUACUGCGAAGGGGGGACGGAGAAGGCUAUGUUGGCCGGGCGACGGUUGUCCCGGUUUAAGCGUGUAGGUGUGUGUUCCAGGUAAAUCCGGUUCACUUUAACACUGAGGCGUGACGACGAGGCACUACGGUGCUGAAGCAACAAAUGCCCUGCUUCCAGGAAAAGCCUCUAAGCAUCAGGUAACAUCAAAUCGUACCCCAAACCGACACAGGUGGUCAGGUAGAGAAUACCAAGGCGCUUGAGAGAACUCGGGUGAAGGAACUAGGCAAAAUGGUGCCGUAACUUCGGGAGAAGGCACGCUGACACGUAGGUGAAGUGAUUUACUCAUGGAGCUGAAGUCAGUCGAAGAUACCAGCUGGCUGCAACUGUUUAUUAAAAACACAGCACUGUGCAAACACGAAAGUGGACGUAUACGGUGUGACGCCUGCCCGGUGCCGGAAGGUUAAUUGAUGGGGUCAGCGCAAGCGAAGCUCCUGAUCGAAGCCCCGGUAAACGGCGGCCGUAACUAUAACGGUCCUAAGGUAGCGAAAUUCCUUGUCGGGUAAGUUCCGACCUGCACGAAUGGCGUAAUGAUGGCCAGGCUGUCUCCACCCGAGACUCAGUGAAAUUGAACUCGCUGUGAAGAUGCAGUGUACCCGCGGCAAGACGGAAAGACCCCGUGAACCUUUACUAUAGCUUGACACUGAACAUUGAGCCUUGAUGUGUAGGAUAGGUGGGAGGCUUUGAAGUGUGGACGCCAGUCUGCAUGGAGCCGACCUUGAAAUACCACCCUUUAAUGUUUGAUGUUCUAACGUGGACCCGUUACCCGGGUUGCGGACAGUGUCUGGUGGGUAGUUUGACUGGGGCGGUCUCCUCCUAAAGAGUAACGGAGGAGCACGAAGGUUGGCUAAUCCUGGUCGGACAUCAGGAGGUUAGUGCAAUGGCAUAAGCCAGCUUGACUGCGAGCGUGACGGCGCGAGCAGGUGCGAAAGCAGGUCAUAGUGAUCCGGUGGUUCUGAAUGGAAGGGCCAUCGCUCAACGGAUAAAAGGUACUCCGGGGAUAACAGGCUGAUACCGCCCAAGAGUUCAUAUCGACGGCGGUGUUUGGCACCUCGAUGUCGGCUCAUCACAUCCUGGGGCUGAAGUAGGUCCCAAGGGUAUGGCUGUUCGCCAUUUAAAGUGGUACGCGAGCUGGGUUUAGAACGUCGUGAGACAGUUCGGUCCCUAUCUGCCGUGGGCGCUGGAGAACUGAGGGGGGCUGCUCCUAGUACGAGAGGACCGGAGUGGACGCAUCACUGGUGUUCGGGUUGUCAUGCCAAUGGCACUGCCCGGUAGCUAAAUGCGGAAGAGAUAAGUGCUGAAAGCAUCUAAGCACGAAACUUGCCCCGAGAUGAGUUCUCCCUGAGACUUAGAGUCUCCUGAAGGAACGUUGAAGACGACGACGUUGAUAGGCCGGGUGUGUAAGCGCAGCGAUGCGUUGAGCUAACCGGUACUAAUGAACCGUGAGGCUUAACCUUACAACGCCGAAG
rnacentral:rRNA from 4 species